GUCGGCUAUGGGGACAUGUACCCUGUGACCAUCGGAGGGAAGAUUGUAGGCUCGCUUUGCGCCAUAGCCGGAGUGUUAACCAUAGCGCUGCCGGUGCCUGUCAUCGUGUCCAAC
rfam:Oreochromis niloticus linkage group LG17, whole genome shotgun sequence.